GGGGUUGUGGCUCAGCAGUAGAGCACUCACCUAGCAUGUGUGAGGCCCUGGGUUCAAUCCUCAGCGCCA
rnacentral:tRNA from 1 species